UGGGGAAUAUUGUACAAUGGGGGAAACCCUGAUGCAGCGACGCCGCGUGGAGGAAGAAGGUCUUCGGAUUGUAAACUCCUGUUGUUGAGGAAGAUAAUGACGGUACUCAACAAGGAAGUGACGGCUAACUACGUGCCAGCAGCCGCGGUAAAACGUAGGUCACAAGCGUUGUCCGGAAUUACUGGGUGUAAAGGGAGCGCAGGCGGGAAGACAAGUUGGAAGUGAAAUCUAUGGGCUCAACCCAUAAACUGCUUUCAAAACUGUUUUUCUUGAGUAGUGCAGAGGUAGGCGGAAUUCCCGGUGUAGCGGUGGAAUGCGUAGAUAUCGGGAGGAACACCAGUGGCGAAGGCGGCCUACUGGGCACCAACUGACGCUGAGGCUCGAAAGUGUGGGUAGCAAACAGGAUUAGAUACCCUGGUAGUCCACACCGUAAACGAUGAUUACUAGGUGUUGGAGGAUUGACCCCUUCAGUGCCGCAGUUAACACAAUAAGUAAUCCACCUGGGGAGUACGACCGCAAGGUUGAAACUCAAAGGAAUUGACGGGGGCCCGCACAAGCAGUGGAGUAUGUGGUUUAAUUCGACGCAACGCGAAGAACCUUACCAAGUCUUGACAUCCCUUGACAGGCAUAGAAAUAUGUUUUCUCUUCGGAGCAAGGAGACAGGUGGUGCAUGGUUGUCGUCAGCUCGUGUCGUGAGAUGUUGGGUUAAGUCCCGCAACGAGCGCAACCCUUAUGGUCAGUUACUACGUAAGAGGACUCUGGCCAGACUGCCGUUGACAAAACGGAGGAAGGUGGGGAUGACGUCAAAUCAUCAUGCCCUUUAUGACUUGGGCUACACACGUACUACAAUGGCGUUAAACAAAGAGAAGCAAGACCGCGAGGUGGAGCAAAACUCAGAAACAACGUCCCAGUUCGGACUGCAGGCUGCAACUCGCCUGCACGAAGUCGGAAUUGCUAGUAAUCGUGGAUCAGCAUGCCACGGUGAAUACGUUCCC
rnacentral:rRNA from 1 species